UUACAUCAUUGUUAAGAAAUCGGUUGGGAUGGCAGAUAAAUUUUUUUUUUUUUUGAAUACUGUUUAUACAGGACUGUAGGUAUUACAAUUAAUAUUUACACACAGAUUCUACAAUUGGAACCUUCAUUGUGGCAUGUACUCCUCUAAAGAGCUGCCCAAAUUCUUCAAACCCUCUCAAAUAUUCGAGGGCUGUCCACUCACGAAAUGAUCAUCGUGGCAUGUACUCCUCUGAAGCGCUGUCCAAAUUCUUCAAACCCUCUCAAAUAUUCGAGGGCUGUCCACUCACGAAAUGAUCAUCGUGGCAUGUACUCCUCUGAAGCGCUGUCCAAAUUCUUCAAACCCUCUCAAAUAUUCGAGGGCUGUCCACUCUACUCACAUUUCGUGAGGAAUAGACUGGCUCCACUCAAUUAUGUGAUAAUUGAGGAAUGAUUGUAAAUAAGCCCCAUAAAUGCUUUUAUGGAGGCUCGAACCCUUGCACUCAUUAUUCUAAGUGUAAGGACUUUCCCACUGGACCAAAG
rnacentral:lncRNA from 1 species